rnacentral:rRNA from 1 species
ACGAACGCUGGCGGCAUGCCUCACACAUGCAAGUCGAACGCGACCUUCGGGUCUAGUGGCGCACGGGUGCGUAACGCGUGGGAACCUGCCCUUAGGUUCGGAAUAACUCCCCGAAAGGGGUGCUAAUACCGGAUAAUGUCUUCGGACCAAAGAUUUAUCGCCUUUGGAUGGGCCCGCGUUGGAUUAGCUAGUUGGUAGGGUAAAAGCCUACCAAGGCGACGAUCCAUAGCUGGUCUGAGAGGAUGAUCAGCCACACUGGGACUGAGACACGGCCCAGACUCCUACGGGAGGCAGCAGUGGGGAAUAUUGGACAAUGGGCGAAAGCCUGAUCCAGCAAUGCCGCGUGAGUGAUGAAGGCCUUAGGGUUGUAAAGCUCUUUUACCCGGGAUGAUAAUGACAGUACCGGGAGAAUAAGCUCCGGCUAACUCCGUG